UGGCUAUAUCAUGUUGAAACACCUGUUCCCAUAUGAUCACUGAAGUUAAGCAAUAUCAUGCAUGAUCAGUACCUAGUUGGGUGACUGCUUAGGAAUACCAAGUGCUGUAAG